CCUACGGGCGGCAGCAGUGAGGAAUAUUGGUCAAUGGGCGUAAGCCUGAACCAGCCAAGUCGCGUGAGGGAUGAAGGUUCUAUGGAUCGUAAACCUCUUUUAUAAGGGAAUAAAGUGUGGGACGUGUCCUGUUUUGUAUGUACCUUAUGAAUAAGGAUCGGCUAACUCCGUGCCAGCAGCCGCGGUAAUACGGAGGAUCCGAGCGUUAUCCGGAUUUAUUGGGUUUAAAGGGUGCGUAGGCGGCCUUUUAAGUCAGCGGUGAAAGUCUGUGGCUCAACCAUAGAAUUGCCGUUGAAACUAGGAGGCUUGAGUAUGUUAGAGGCAGGCGGAAUGCGUGGUGUAGCGGUGAAAUGCGUAGAUAUCACGCAGAACCCUGAUUGCGAAGGCAGCCUGCCAAGCCAUGACUGACGCUGAUGCACGAAAGCGUGGGGAUCAAACAGGAUUAGAUACCCGGGUAGUC
rnacentral:rRNA from 1 species